ACCUUACUGCCGUACCAUUCAUCCCCUCAUCCCUCUUCACAUUCUCGGUCUCCUCCCGUUCCUUUUUCUCCAUUCCUUCUCCGAUCCAUGGAUUCAUCCCAAUUUGUUGCUAGAUCCUGCCAAGGGUGGAGGACGGGGUGAGAAGGGGGAUUUGCGGCGGAGUGCGGUGGCUGCAGGUUCUCGGCGGCGGCAGGUCCUCCAGCUUGACCACACGUUCCUGCUGCUCGCUGCCGCCGUCCAUUGGAUGGCCAUGGAGCUGGGCCCCUUUGAACUUGAACGGUGGCUCUCCUCUAGAGAGUCCACAGGAGGAGGCAGGUCGUGGGCUUCCUAUUUGCUACUGUGGCAGCUUCCACCUAUGUAAUGUGCUACAACUUUGCAUCAUUCCUACUUUCUGCACACGGCUGAUUCGUCACAGUUGUCACUACAGGCUUGAGAGUCUCGUUUUCCUCAAGAAGUGGUGAUAUCAUAUCUGAGAAGAAGUUUGAUGCAUUACCUAACUUUUCUGGGUUUUAUGCCACAUUCCAACCUUGAUGAUUCAGUGAGAGGCAGCUCUGAAGAUAUGUCCUGACUUCGUCGGUCGUCCUGAUGCGGUCACAUUGCAGUUUCGGCUGUUUGUCUGGCAUCGCAGAACUCAAAUUUGUUGGUGGUGCUCUGGUCGGGUAGCAGAUUUGUUCUGCAGUCUUCGAUUUUAUUGGUGUUACGCUGCCCGGGUAGUAGAUUUGUUGUGCAGUCUUCAAUUUUGUUGGUGGUUCUCUUCCUGGGUAGUAGAUUUCGGAAGACCUCGAUUUUGUUGGUGGUGCUUUGGUCGGGUAGCAGAUUUGUAGACUUUGAUAUGUCCAGAAUUGGUUGACUCCGACUCUUGGGCGUCUGUUGGAUGUGGUCGGCCGAGUGUCUUUCUAUUUUGUUGCCUUGGCUGACUCCAUCUAGAGUUUCUUUUUAUCUAGAGUCCAUGUGGAGACGUGGAGUUCUAUUGAUUGAGUCCCUCCAGAUAGGACGGACCGGAUCAAGAAUUUGUACGUGUGUUGUUAAAAAAAGAAUUUAUACGUGUCCUAUGUCAACACGUUUCCGCAC